rnacentral:rRNA from 1 species
AUGAAGUGCUAUUGCUUAGUGGCGGACGGGUGAGUAACACGUGAGCAACCUACCUUUUGCAGGGGAAUAACUCUGGGAAACCAGAGCUAAUACCGCAUGUCGUGCGCUUGGGGCAUCCCAGGUGCAUGAAAGGAUUUUAUCCGGCAGAAGAUGGGCUCGCGUCCGAUUAGGUAGUUGGAGAGGUAAUGGCUCCCCAAGCCGACGAUCGGUAGCCGGACUGAGAGGUCGAUCGGCCACAUUGGGACUGAGACACGGCCCAGACUCC